CCCAUGCAAUUAAUCGCAGUAACCUUCUGACCUCGAGAGAAGCGGUGAAGCUCAAUUUGAAAUCUGGUACUUUCAGUGCCCGAGUUGUAAUUUGUAGAAUUUGUCUUUGAUUAGGUCCUUGUCUAUGUUCCUUGGAACAGGACGUCAUAGAGGGUGAGAAUCCCGUUUGGCGAGGAUACCUUUUCUCUGUAAGACUUUUUCGAAGAGUCGAGUUGUUUGGGAAUGCAGCUCAAAGUGGGUGGUAAAUUCCAUCUAAAGCUAAAUAUUGGCGAGAGACCGAUAGCGAACAAGUACAGUGAUGGAAAGAUGAAAAGAACUUUGAAAAGAGAGUGAAAAAGUACGUGAAAUUGUUGAAAGGGAAGGGCAUUUGAUCAGACAUGGUGUUUUUUGCAUGCACUCGCCUCUCGUGGGCUUGGGCCUCUCAAAAAUUUCACUGGGCCAACAUCAAUUCUGGCAGCAGGAUAAAUCAUUAAGAAUGUAGCUACUUCGGUAGUGUUAUAGCUUUUUGGAAUACUGUUAGCCGGGAUUGAGGACUGCGCUUCGGCAAGGAUGUUGGCAUAAUGGUUAAAUGCCGCCCGUCUUGAAGCACGGACCA
rnacentral:rRNA from 1 species